rnacentral:rRNA from 1 species
GGGUUGUGAGGUUAAGCGACUAAGCGUACACGGUGGAUGCCCUGGCAGUCAGAGGCGAUGAAGGACGUGCUAAUCUGCGAUAAGCGUCGGUAAGGUGAUAUGAACCGUUAUAACCGGCGAUUUCCGAAUGGGGAAACCCAGUGUGUUUCGACACACUAUCAUUAACUGAAUCCAUAGGUUAAUGAGGCGAACCGGGGGAACUGAAACAUCUAAGUACCCCGAGGAAAAGAAAUCAACCGAGAUUCCCCCAGUAGCGGCGAGCGAACGGGGAGCAGCCCAGAGCCUGAAUCAGUGUGUGUGUUAGUGGAAGCGUCUGGAAAGGCGCGCGAUACAGGGUGACAGCCCCGUACACAAAAAUGCACAUGCUGUGAGCUCGAUGAGUAGGGCGGGACACGUGGUAUCCUGUCUGAAUAUGGGGGGACCAUCCUCCAAGGCUAAAUACUCCUGACUGACCGAUAGUGAACCAGUACCGUGAGGGAAAGGCGAAAAGAACCCCGGCGAGGGGAGUGAAAAAGAACCUGAAACCGUGUACGUACAAGCAGUGGGAGCCUCUUUUAUGGGGUGACUGCGUACCUUUUGUAUAAUGGGUCAGCGACUUAUAUUCUGUAGCAAGGUUAACCGAAUAGGGGAGCCGAAGGGAAACCGAGUCUUAACUGGGCGUUAAGUUGCAGGGUAUAGACCCGAAACCCGGUGAUCUAGCCAUGGGCAGGUUGAAGGUUGGGUAACACUAACUGGAGGACCGAACCGACUAAUGUUGAAAAAUUAGCGGAUGACUUGUGGCUGGGGGUGAAAGGCCAAUCAAACCGGGAGAUAGCUGGUUCUCCCCGAAAGCUAUUUAGGUAGCGCCUCGUGAAUUCAUCUCCGGGGGUAGAGCACUGUUUCGGCAAGGGGGUCAUCCCGACUUACCAACCCGAAGCAAACUGCGAAUACCGGAGAAUGUUAUCACGGGAGACACACGGCGGGUGCUAACGUCCGUCGUGAAGAGGGAAACAACCCAGACCGCCAGCUAAGGUCCCAAAGUCAUGGUUAAGUGGGAAACGAUGUGGGAAGGCCCAGACAGCCAGGAUGUUGGCUUAGAAGCAGCCAUCAUUUAAAGAAAGCGUAAUAGCUCACUGGUCGAGUCGGCCUGCGCGGAAGAUGUAACGGGGCUAAACCAUGCACCGAAGCUGCGGCAGCGACGCUUAUGCGUUGUUGGGUAGGGGAGCGUUCUGUAAGCCUGCGAAGGUGUGCUGUGAGGCAUGCUGGAGGUAUCAGAAGUGCGAAUGCUGACAUAAGUAACGAUAAAGCGGGUGAGAAGCCCGCUCGCCGGAAGACCAAGGGUUCCUGUCCAACGUUAAUCGGGGCAGGGUGAGUCGACCCCUAAGGCGAGGCCGAAAGGCGUAGUCGAUGGGAAACAGGUUAAUAUUCCUGUACUUGGUGUUACUGCGAAGGGGGACGGAGAAGGCUAUGUUGGCCGGGCGACGGUUGUCCCGGUUUAAGCGUGUAGGCUGGUUUUCCAGGCAAAUCCGGAAAAUCAAGGCUGAGGCGUGAUGACGAGGCACUACGGUGCUGAAGCAACAAAUGCCCUGCUUCCAGGAAAAGCCUCUAAGCAUCAGGUAACAUCAAAUCGUACCCCAAACCGACACAGGUGGUCAGGUAGAGAAUACCAAGGCGCUUGAGAGAACUCGGGUGAAGGAACUAGGCAAAAUGGUGCCGUAACUUCGGGAGAAGGCACGCUGAUAUGUAGGUGAAGUCCCUCGCGGAUGGAGCUGAAAUCAGUCGAAGAUACCAGCUGGCUGCAACUGUUUAUUAAAAACACAGCACUGUGCAAACACGAAAGUGGACGUAUACGGUGUGACGCCUGCCCGGUGCCGGAAGGUUAAUUGAUGGGGUUAGCGCAAGCGAAGCUCUUGAUCGAAGCCCCGGUAAACGGCGGCCGUAACUAUAACGGUCCUAAGGUAGCGAAAUUCCUUGUCGGGUAAGUUCCGACCUGCACGAAUGGCGUAAUGAUGGCCAGGCUGUCUCCACCCGAGACUCAGUGAAAUUGAACUCGCUGUGAAGAUGCAGUGUACCCGCGGCAAGACGGAAAGACCCCGUGAACCUUUACUAUAGCUUGACACUGAACAUUGAGCCUUGAUGUGUAGGAUAGGUGGGAGGCUUUGAAGUGUGGACGCCAGUCUGCAUGGAGCCGACCUUGAAAUACCACCCUUUAAUGUUUGAUGUUCUAACGUUGACCCGUAAUCCGGGUUGCGGACAGUGUCUGGUGGGUAGUUUGACUGGGGCGGUCUCCUCCUAAAGAGUAACGGAGGAGCACGAAGGUUGGCUAAUCCUGGUCGGACAUCAGGAGGUUAGUGCAAUGGCAUAAGCCAGCUUGACUGCGAGCGUGACGGCGCGAGCAGGUGCGAAAGCAGGUCAUAGUGAUCCGGUGGUUCUGAAUGGAAGGGCCAUCGCUCAACGGAUAAAAGGUACUCCGGGGAUAACAGGCUGAUACCGCCCAAGAGUUCAUAUCGACGGCGGUGUUUGGCACCUCGAUGUCGGCUCAUCACAUCCUGGGGCUGAAGUAGGUCCCAAGGGUAUGGCUGUUCGCCAUUUAAAGUGGUACGCGAGCUGGGUUUAGAACGUCGUGAGACAGUUCGGUCCCUAUCUGCCGUGGGCGCUGGAGAACUGAGGGGGGCUGCUCCUAGUACGAGAGGACCGGAGUGGACGCAUCACUGGUGUUCGGGUUGUCAUGCCAAUGGCACUGCCCGGUAGCUAAAUGCGGAAGAGAUAAGUGCUGAAAGCAUCUAAGCACGAAACUUGCCCCGAGAUGAGUUCUCCCUGACUCCUUGAGAGUCCUGAAGGAACGUUGAAGACGACGACGUUGAUAGGCCGGGUGUGUAAGCGCAGCGAUGCGUUGAGCUAACCGGUACUAAUGAACCGUGAGGCUUAACCUUACAACGCCGAAG